rnacentral:tRNA from 1 species
AUAUAUAUAGCUCAGUUGGCAGAGUGCUUUCCUUGCAUGCACAAGGCCCUGGGUUCAAUCCCCAGCACCAUAUAUA